rnacentral:rRNA from 1 species
GAUGAACGCUGGCGGCGUGCCUAAUACAUGCAAGUCGAGCGAACAGACGCGGAGCUUGCUCCUCUGACGUUAGCGGCGGACGGGUGUGUAACACGUGUAUCACCUACCUAUAAGACUGGGAUAACUUCGGGAAACCGGAUCUAAUACCGGAUAAUCUAUUGAACCACAUGGUUCAAUAGUGAAAGACGGUUUUGCUGUCACUUCUCGCUGGUUCCGCGCCGCAUUAGCUAGUUGGUAAGGUAACGGCUUACCAAGGCAACGAUGCGUAGCCGACCUGAGAGGGUGAUCGGCCACACUGGAACUGAGACACGGUCCAGACUCCUACGGGAGGCAGCAGUAGGGAAUCUUCCGCAAUGGGCGAAAGCCUGACGGAGCAACGCCGCGUGAGUGAUGAAGGUCUUCGGAUCGUAAAACUCUGUUAUUAGUGAAGAACAAAUGUGUAAGUAACUAUGCACGUCUUGACGGUACCUAAUCAGAAAGCCACGGCUAACUACGUG